CAUAUAUUAUAGUCCGGAAGGGACUACACACCGGUAGCGGUGAGGGACGCAUGUGGAGAAUCGCAGCAGGGGCCGUCCACCGGCGCAACGCUGAACUAAAAAGAGCAGUGUUCGAUCACAUCUAUGGAAUUGGCCAGGUUUCGAUGGCAAGCUAGGAACCCUGCAUUGAGGCAACAAGCCUGGAAGCUUGAAGCCCAGAUUAAUUGAUGAGCUGUCAUCCACCUGCUUCUGCUCUGACCUGGCUGGUAGGAGGCUUUGCAGCCGUCCUUUUCCUUUUGUCGCUCUUUGGCCUUCAUAAAAAAACUUCACUCCUGACCCUCUGGACACUCGAUUACUGGGCCAUUGGACAGUUGUAUGUUUUGGGACUCUCAGUACAGUAAACCUCGGAUAUAUUGGAUUCAAUUGUUCCCACUGGUUUUGUCCGAUAUAAGCGAAAUCCGUUAUAGGCGUAUACCGGAAAAUGUCCGUUUUACGCAUAUAUUGGAUUUAUAUCCGGUAUAUGCGUAAAUCGGAUUUUAUCCGUUAUAAAAAGGCACUUCCUUGACUAUGUUUCCAAUGUACCUGGACGCGCAGGCAACGCUGCAAAUGACGUCAUAUAGCGGCCUGUCACCAUUCGGCGAAUCGGAGCGCCACGAUGCGGCCAUCCGAUAUAUGUGAGGGAAAUUUAAUGGAAAUACAUUGG